CUACCCCUAUUUCACAGAGGGGGAAUUCACACUCAGGAAGCUGAACCGACUUGCCCGCGGUCACCCUGUCAGCACAGCCGGGUAGGUGGAUUCCAGCUCAGUCUGGCCGCCAGGUCUGGCUCUCAGCCUCUCUGUGUUCUCGGCCUCUCUGUGCUCUCAGCCUCCCCACCGGCUGCCUUCUUGUUGUCCCUCUUCCCUUCCAGCCUUGUAGAGGAGGACCCACGGGGUGUCGGGUAAGAUCCAGGGAACCAGGUGGGCGUGGGGUGGGGAGGCCCCCUACGUGCUCGGGCUCUCCCAAGGGCAGGGCAGCUAGCAGCUGGUGUCCCUGCUGGCACCGAGUCUUCUCAGGCCACCCAGACCCUCCCCAACAUAUUUUCCAUCAUAAACCACGGGACCUCCAUCUACUUCUGUGUAGACAUUCAUCUACUUCUGUGUAGACGGUUAGCAAGAAAAACCAGAAGGUGAGGUAAGAGUUCCGACGUCAGGGGCGAGCUCGGCCUCUGGGUAGAGAGGUGGGGACGUCUCCUCACGACCUUUUUCUCUUUUCCUUGCUGCUUGCUUCCCGUCCCCGUCUGACAAACGUGGCGGCAGGCACCCCAGGAGUCGUUUCCUCUGCACCUUCUACUGAUGUCCAGGAGAGGCCCCUGCUUGGACUUCUCCUGGGAUACCACCAAGGAUCUGCUCUCCAGCCCAGGUCUGGCUUCCUCUGCACCAGGCUGGAGAAGCCUCGGGCCUCGUUUCUCUUGGACGACUUGAGUGCGUCCUGGAAUCUCCGACCUUCCUAACUGCUCUGGACUCGGCCUCCUGUCUGAGCGGCGGAUGCUGGUGUUUACGUCAAUCUCCUGACUGUGGUUCCUGACUGCUGAUAGGUCCACGAAGCUCACGGGUUCUUUCCCCCAAUUCUCUGGAUUGUCCAAAAAUUCUCCCAGUCCUGUCCUUGGUCGUGGGGUACGGAGCAAUCUCUACUGGCCAAAGGAUGUGACAUUUUCUGUAGUCUUAGGCAACACACCAGGAGGAAACCUGUGACCAGUGCCAGCAGGGGCCUGGGGGGUCCGUGCCCAGCAGCCUGGAGGCCGUCAGGGUGGCUGAGACUCUUCUGUCCACAGUGGCCGCAGCCUUUUUAUUAACCUAACCCUCAACUGGGGUUUGACCCUUUGAACCUCCCUCCUGCAGGCUCUGAGACUGCGCCCCUCCUCUUGUCUCCCAGGGCUAGGGAGAGAGUCCCAGCCCAGAUCUGGAUAAAGGUGAAGUGACAGAGUCACUUUAGAAGCUUGAAAUGGACCAGAGUCUUUUGUGGGAGUGUUGCACUGGGCUUGAAUAUGGGUGUGCUCUACCACUGAGCUACUUCCCCAGCCCCUUUUACUUUUUAUUCCGAGACAGGAUCUCACUAAGUUUCCCAGGCUGGUCUCGAACUUACGAUCCUCCUGCCUCACCAUCCUGAGUGCCGGGCCCAGCACUGCACCCAGCCCAGAUCAGAGCCUUAGAUGUUAAGAGCGAAAACGGUAAAACUCUUGAAGAAAACAUAGGAGGAAAUAUCUGGUGAUGUUGGAUUACACACAUGAGACCCAAACUAUAGAAACAUAAUAGACAAUAAAUAGACAAAUGGACUUCAGCAAAAUUAAACACUUCUGUGCUUCAAAGGACAUGAAGAAAGAGAAGAGGUAAGCCACAGGAUCAGAGAACACCUCUGCAAAUCACACAGCUGACAAGGGACGCAGAGCAGCAUACAGAGGUCCUGUGACUUGCUAAUAAAAGACAAAUAAGACAAUUUAAAAAUGGGCAAAGAAUUUCAAUGGAAAUUCCCCCAAAGAAUAGGUACUCAUGGCAAUAAGAGGUGCUCAGUGCUGUUGGUCAUUAGGGGGAUCAAAUCAAAGCCACAAAUCACCUCCGCUAGCAACACUGCGAGA
rnacentral:lncRNA from 1 species